rnacentral:rRNA from 1 species
CAGAGGUCUCAAGCGUUGUUCGGAUUCAUUGGGCGUAAAGGGUGCGUAGGCGGCGCGGUAAGUCGGGUGUGAAAUUUCGAGGCUUAACUUCGAAACUGCAUUCGAUACUGCCGUGCUCGAGGACUGGAGAGGAGACUGGAAUUUACGGUGUAGCGGUGAAAUGCGUAGAUAUCGUAAGGAAGACCAGUGGCGAAGGCGGGUCUCUGGACAGUUCCUGACGCUGAGGCACGAAGGCCAGGGGAGCAAACGGGAUUAGAUACCCCGGUAGUCCUGGCAAUAAACGGUGCACGUUUGGUGUGGGAGGAUUCGACCCCUUCUGCGCCGGAGCUAACGCGUUAAACGUGCCGCCUGGGGAGUACGAUCGCAAGAUUA